GACGAACGCUGGCGGCGUGCUUAACACAUGCAAGUCGAACGGAAAGGCCCUGCUUUUGUGGGGUGCUCGAGUGGCGAACGGGUGAGUAACACGUGAGUAACCUGCCCUUGUCUUUGGGAUAACUUCAGGAAACUGGGGCUAAUACCGGAUAGGAGCUCCUGCUGCCUGGUGGGGGUUGGAAAGUUUCGGCGGUUGGGGAUGGACUCGCGGCUUAUCAGCUUGUUGGUGGGGUAGUGGCUUACCAAGGCUUUGACGGGUAGCCGGCCUGAGAGGGUGACCGGCGACAUUGGGACUGAGAUACGGCCCAGACUCCUACGGGAGGCAGCAGUGGGGAAUAUUGCACAAUGGGCGGAAGCCUGAUACAGCAACGCCGCGUGCGGGAUGACGGCCUUCGGGGGGUAAACCGCUUUCGCCUGUAACGAAGCGUGAGUGACGGUAAUGGGUAAAGAAGCACCGGCUAACUACGUG
rnacentral:rRNA from 1 species